AAUUUUGGACACUGGGGGAAUCCCUGAUCCAGCGCUCCCGCGUGUAUGGUGAAGGCCUUCGGGUUGUAAUGUAGUUUUGGCGGAGAAGAUAAGUUAUCUCUUAUUAUGAGCUCCGGCUGACGGUAUCUGCAGAUUAAGUCCCGGCUAACUACGGUCCAGCUGCCGCGGUAAUACGUAGGGUCCAAGCGUUAAUCGGAAUUACUGGGCGUAAGGCGUGUGUAGGCGGUUCGGAAAGAAAGAUGUGAAAGCCCAGGGCUCAACCUUGGAACUGCAUUUUUAACUGCCGAGCCAGAGUAUGUCAGGGGGGGGUAGAAUUCCACGUGUAGCAGUGAAAUGCGUAGAUAUGUGGAGGAAUACCGAUGGCGAAGGCAGCCCCCUGGGAUAAUACUGACGCUCAGACACGAAAGCGUGGGGAGCAAACA
rnacentral:rRNA from 1 species